rnacentral:rRNA from 1 species
GACGAACGCUGGCGGCGUGCUUAACACAUGCAAGUCGAACGGAAAGGCCUGCUUUCCCUUGUGGAUUGCGGGUACUCGAGUGGCGAACGGGUGAGUAACACGUGAGUGAUCUGCCCCCAACUUGGGUAUAAGCCUGGGAAACUGGGUCUAAUUCCCGAUAGGACUGCAGGGUGGUGCCUGUGGUGGAAAACGAUUUUCUAGUGGUUGGGGAUGAGCUCGCGGCCUAUCAGCUUGUUGGUGGGGUAAUGUCCUACCAAGGCGGCGACGGGUAGCCGGCCUGGGAGGGUGGACGGCCACAUUGGGACUGAGAUACGGCCCAGACUCCUACGGGCGGCAGCAGUGGGGAAUAUUGCACAAUGGGCGGAAGCCUGAUGCAGCGACGCCGCGUGGGGGAUGACGGCCCUCGGGUUGUAAACUCCUUUCGACCGCGAGGAAGCCACCUGGUUGGAAGGGUGGUGACGGUAGUGGUAGAAGAAGCACCGGCUAACUACGUG